rnacentral:rRNA from 1 species
GGGUUGUGAGGUUAAGCGACUAAGCGUACACGGUGGAUGCCCUGGCAGUCAGAGGCGAUGAAGGGCGUGCUAAUCUGCGAUAAGCGCCGGUAAGGUGAUAUGAACCGUUAUAACCGGCGAUACCCGAAUGGGGAAACCCAGUGUGAUUCGUCACACUAUCAUUAACUGAAUCCAUAGGUUAAUGAGGCGAACCGGGGGAACUGAAACAUCUAAGUACCCCGAGGAAAAGAAAUCAACCGAGAUUCCCCCAGUAGCGGCGAGCGAACGGGGAGGAGCCCAGAGCCUGAAUCAGCAUGUGUGUUAGUGGAAGCGUCUGGAAAGGCGCGCGAUACAGGGUGACAGCCCCGUACACAAAAGCGCAUGUGCUGUGAGCUCGAUGAGUAGGGCGGGACACGUGGUAUCCUGUCUGAAUAUGGGGGGACCAUCCUCCAAGGCUAAAUACUCCUGACUGACCGAUAGUGAACCAGUACCGUGAGGGAAAGGCGAAAAGAACCCCGGCGAGGGGAGUGAAAAAGAACCUGAAACCGUGUACGUACAAGCAGUGGGAGCACAGGUUUACCUGUGUGACUGCGUACCUUUUGUAUAAUGGGUCAGCGACUUAUAUUCUGUAGCAAGGUUAACCGUAUAGGGGAGCCGAAGGGAAACCGAGUCUUAACCGGGCGUUAAGUUGCAGGGUAUAGACCCGAAACCCGGUGAUCUAGCCAUGGGCAGGUUGAAGGUUGGGUAACACUAACUGGAGGACCGAACCGACUAAUGUUGAAAAAUUAGCGGAUGACCUGUGGCUGGGGGUGAAAGGCCAAUCAAACCGGGAGAUAGCUGGUUCUCCCCGAAAGCUAUUUAGGUAGCGCCUCGUGAAUUCAUCUCCGGGGGUAGAGCACUGUUUCGGCUAGGGGGCCAUCCCGGCUUACCAACCCGAUGCAAACUGCGAAUACCGGAGAAUGUUAUCACGGGAGACACACGGCGGGUGCUAACGUCCGUCGUGAAGAGGGAAACAACCCAGACCGCCAGCUAAGGUCCCAAAGUCAUGGUUAAGUGGGAAACGAUGUGGGAAGGCCCAGACAGCCAGGAUGUUGGCUUAGAAGCAGCCAUCAUUUAAAGAAAGCGUAAUAGCUCACUGGUCGAGUCGGCCUGCGCGGAAGAUGUAACGGGGCUAAACCAUGCACCGAAGCUGCGGCAGCGACACUCAGGUGUUGUUGGGUAGGGGAGCGUUCUGUAAGCCUGUGAAGGUGGCCUGUGAGGGUUGCUGGAGGUAUCAGAAGUGCGAAUGCUGACAUAAGUAACGAUAAAGCGGGUGAAAAGCCCGCUCGCCGGAAGACCAAGGGUUCCUGUCCAACGUUAAUCGGGGCAGGGUGAGUCGACCCCUAAGGCGAGGCCGAAAGGCGUAGUCGAUGGGAAACGGGUUAAUAUUCC